rnacentral:rRNA from 1 species
UACGGAGGGAGCUAGCGUUAUUCGGAAUUACUGGGCGUAAAGCGCACGUAGGCGGCUUUGUAAGUAAGAGGUGAGAGCCCGGAGCUCAACUCCGGAACUGCCUUUUAGACUGCAUCGCUUGAAUCCAGGAGAGGUGAGUGGAAUUCCGAGUGUAGAGGUGAAAUUCGUAGAUAUUCGGAAGAACACCAGUGGCGAAGGCGGCUCACUGGACUGGUAUUGACGCUGAGGUGCGAAAGCGUGGGGAGCAAACAGG